CACUCCUACGGGAGGCAGCAGUGGGGAAUAUUGGACAAUGGGCGCAAGCCUGAUCCAGCCAUGCCGCGUGAGUGAUGAAGGCCCUAGGGUUGUAAAGCUCUUUCACCGGUGAAGAUAAUGACGGUAACCGGAGAAGAAGCCCCGACUAACUUCGUGCCAGCAGCCGCGGUAAUACGAAGGGGGCUAGCGUUGUUCGGAUUUACUGGGCGUAAAGCGCACGUAGGCGGACUAUUAAGUCAGGGGUGAAAUCCCGGGGCUCAACCCCGGAACUGCCUUUGAUACUGGUAGUCUUGAGUUCGAGAGAGGUGAGUGGAAUUCCGAGUGUAGAGGUGAAAUUCGUAGAUAUUCGGAGGAACACCAGUGGCGAAGGCGGCUCACUGGCUCGAUACUGACGCUGAGGUGCGAAAGCGUGGGGAGCAAACAGGAUUAGAAACCCGGGUAGUCCC
rnacentral:rRNA from 1 species